rnacentral:rRNA from 2 species
UGGCGGCGUGCUACACAUGCAGUCGAGCGAUGAAGUUUCCUUCGGGAAACGGAUUAGCGGCGGACGGGUGAGUAACACGUGAGCAACCUGCCUCAAAGAGGGGGAUAGCCUCCCGAAAGGGAGAUUAAUACCGCAUAAUAUCAGAAUUUCGCAUGAUUUUCUGAUUAAAGGAGUAAUCCACUUUGAGAUGGGCUCGCGGCGCAUUAGCUAGUUAGUGAGGUAACGGCUCACCAAGGCGACGAUGCGUAGCCGACCUGAGAGGGUGAUCGGCCACAUUGGGACUGAGACACGGCCCAGACUCCUACGGGAGGCAGCAGUGGGGAAUAUUGCGCAAUGGACGAAAGUCUGACGCAGCAACGCCGCGUGGGUGAUGAAGGUCUUCGGAUUGUAAAGCCCUGUCUUCGAGGACGAUAAUGACGGUACUCGAGGAGGAAGCCACGGCUAACUACGUGCCAGCAGCCGCGGUAAUACGUAGGUGGCAAGCGUUGUCCGGAUUUACUGGGCGUAAAGAGUGUGUAGGCGGAUAAUUAAGUCAGGUGUGAAAUCCCGGGGCUCAACCCCGGAGGUGCAUUUGAUACUGGUUAUCUAGAGUGCGGGAGAGGAGAGUGGAAUUCCUAGUGUAGCGGUGAAAUGCGUACAGAUUAGGAAGAACACCAGUGGCGAAGGCGACUCUCUGGACCGUAACUGACGCUGAGACACGAAAGCGU